rnacentral:rRNA from 1 species
CAAGCGUUAUCCGGAAUUAUUGGGCGUAAAGCGCGCGCAGGUGGUUUCUUAAGUCUGAUGUGAAAGCCCACGGCUCAACCGUGGAGGGUCAUUGGAAACUGGGAGACUUGAGUGCAGAAGAGGAAAGUGGAAUUCCAUGUGUAGCGGUGAAAUGCGUAGAGAUAUGGAGGAACACCAGUGGCGAAGGCGACUUUCUGGUCUGUAACUGACACUGAGGCGCGAAAGCGUGGGGAGCAAACAGGAUUAGAUACCCUGGUAGUUCACGCCGUAAACGAUGAGUGCUAAGUGUUAGAGG